UACGGAGGGUGCAAGCGUUAUCCGGAUUCACUGGGUUUAAAGGGUGCGUAGGUGGGCAGGUAAGUCAGUGGUGAAAUCUCCGAGCUUAACUCGGAACUGCCGUUGAUACUAUUUGUCUUGAAUAUUGUGGAGGUAAGCGGAAUAUGUCAUGUAGCGGUGAAAUGACUUAGAUAUGACAUAGAACACCAAUUGCGAAGGCAGCUUACUACACAACGAUUGACGCUGAGGCACGAAAGCGUGGGGAUCAAACAGG
rnacentral:rRNA from 1 species